GCACAAGCGGUGGAGCAUGUGGUUUAAUUCGACGCAACGCGAAGAACCUUACCCAGGCUCGAACGGUAGAUGACAUCCUACGAAAGUAGGCUCCCGCAAGGGCAUCUAUCGAGGUGCUGCAUGGCUGUCGUCAGCUCGUGUCGUGAGAUGUUGGGUUAAGUCCCGCAACGAGCGCAACCCUUGUCUUCUGUUGCCAUCGGGUUAUGCCGGGCACUCUGAAGAGACUGCCGGUGACAGACCGGAGGAAGGUGGGGAUGACGUCAAGUCAGCAUGGCCUUUAUGUCUGGGGCCACACACGUGCUACAAUGGCCGGUACAAACCGUCGCGAUGCCGUAAGGUGGAGCUAAUCGGAGAAAGCCGGUCUCAGUUCGGAUUGUAGGCUGCAACUCGCCUGCAUGAAGUUGGAAUCGCUAGUAAUCGCGGAUCAGCACGCCGCGGUGAAUACGUUCCCGGGC
rnacentral:rRNA from 1 species